UACGAAGGGGGCUAGCGUUGUUCGGAAUUACUGGGCGUAAAGCGCGCGCAGGCGGCUAUCCAAGUCAGUGGUGCAAGCCCGGAGCUCAACUCCGGAACUGCCAUUGAAACUGUUUAGCUUGAGGACGAGAGAGGUGAGUGGAAUUCCCAGUGUAGAGGUGAAAUGCGUAGAGAGUGGGAAGAACAACGGUGGCGAAGGCGGCUCACUGGCUCGUUUCUGACGCUCAGGCGCGACAGCGUGGGGAUCAAACAGG
rnacentral:rRNA from 1 species